rnacentral:lncRNA from 1 species
CUGUUAUUCAAUAUGACCAAUUUAUUUGUGUUUACUGUGUUGUGAAAUUUAAUAAAACUUUAAGUUUCGUCAAUGAUUUACAAAAUUAAGUGCGAAAUCACAUCAUAAAUGCAACUGUUGUCGUUAAUCCACUGCUUACUAUCUUUGGUGUGUCCGUCAUAAAAGGAUUUAGCUGCAUGUGUUAUUAACAAGCUUUAAGAUUGAUAUAUGUCUAACCUCUUUUGAAUGGUACACACUUUCUAUAAGAAUUUCAGCCAGUACCCCUCCCAUUGUAGCUUACCCGAU